GUGAAAUGAGUAUUACAUCAGGUACUGGUUUGGAUUUUUAGUUUUUCGCUAGAAAUUUCGCAUUCGAUUUACUUUUGCCAGUGCUUAUGUUAUGCUCGUUUUAA
rnacentral:pre_miRNA from 1 species